CGUGCCUACGGGGGGCAGCAGUGGGGAAUAUUGCACAAUGGGCGAAAGCCUGAUGCAGCAACGCCGCGUGAAGGAAGACGGUUUUCGGGUUGUAAACUUCUGUUCUUAGUGAAGAAUAAUGACGGUAACUAAGGAGCAAGCCACGGCUAACUACGUGCCAGCAGCCGCGGUAAUACGUAGGAUGCGAGCGUUAUCCGGAUUUAUUGGGUUUAAAGGGUGCGCAGGCGGGCUGUUAAGCCGGCGGUAAAAAUUCAGGGCUCAACCCUGUCGAGCCGUCGGAAAUGGCAGUCUUGAGUGGGCGGGAA
rnacentral:rRNA from 1 species